CUCAACUUGAAAUAGCAUUCAAUUCAAGGUUGGUCCAUCUCUGAAGCUUCUCUGUGCACAAUAAUCUUCAUCCCUUCAUUACGUUGCUCGAUCAAAUUGCAUGCAUAUUAAGGAAAGGAACAGUAAUAAUGAAAAAGGUAGGUGGUGGAAGGCCAAAGGAUGAUGAUGUGCGGGGACACGUUGAGGUAUUGGAGGAAGGACGAAGAUGGAAGUGUAAAUAUUGUGAACGGGAAUUCGCAGGAGGUGCUAGCAGAAUCAGAUCUCAUAUUUAUGGAGAAAAAGGCGGAGG